UGAGUAAGAGCCCCAGAAAUUGGAGAGAAAACAUCUUCUUCGAAGGAAUUUGAGAUGAUCACUGAAAUCAGCUGCGUUUGAGAACUUCUCAAAUGACUUCGGAACUUCUUCUUACGUCAUUUACCGGCCUUUAGUGUGAUCGUUUCGAAGAAGGAAAAGAAGUCUUAAAAAAAGUGAAAAAUAUGAAGAUUCUCUUUGCUGUUUUAGUGCUUUCUCUUGCAAUUUCCAGUGUGACUUCCUUGACCUGCUACUUCUGCCACGGAACCAAUGGAACUGCUUGUGCUCAUCCCCCAACUACCUCUAUGAUUGCUCAGCAUCCCUGCAACAAUCAACAUUGCUCAACGCUAGUUUAUCAUGCCGGUAAUGGAACCACAGUCUACGUCCGUGGCUGCAAUCCCAGCAAUUUCUGCUCAAACCCGGGAAUUCCAGCGCAUCAGCUCAUUGAUUGCCGCACCUGCAAUAGAGAUCGCUGCAACAGUUCCAGCAUUAUCAAAGGAAGUGCCUUAACGUCAAUUUUCAUCUUAACAAUAGCUUUGGCUUUCUCAAAGACAUUUUUCUCCUAAAUUCUACUUCUUACUGUUUUAAUUAAUUUUUAUUUUAUUAUGUAUUUUUUAUAAUUUUUUUUAAAUUUACCAUUAAAAGUAUAUUUUUGUUGACAAAAAAUUCUGAGUCAGAGUAUUAAUGCUUCGAUGAUUGAUUAGAUUAGUUUUAUCAAAAACAAGAGGGGAAUUUUUGGGGGCGAUGCGAUAUGAAUUUAUGAUUUAUGAAAUUUCAUUUUGUUUGGCAUAAUUUGGAGGGAAAUAAUCUUAACAAUUAUUGAUAGUUAAUUUCUUUUUCAAAUUGAAUUUUCUUGUCCACCAAUCAUAUGGUGGUUUUCACCUCAUUAAAUUGAUUUUAUAAUGAAAAUUAUAAUCAAAAAUAAAUUAAAGAACAUACCAGCAAUAUGUGGAAAGCUGCGCAUGGUAGCGCAUAGAUAUUAAUGUGGUGUAUGUAAUCUCUCAAAAAUCCCACUAAUAUUCGACAAAGGGGACUUUGUGUGAAAAUUUAAUGAUGAUUCCUGUGAAGAUAAUUACGGAGCAUUCAUAUUGUAAGUUUGCCAAAGGAAUUCUCGUGAAUAGUGUUUCAGAUAUAAUUAAUCACAACCACUUAGCCACAUAUGGGGAUGUACAGACACACACACGGAGUACAAGAGGAGCCCCCCGGGCGAGAAAAUGAAAUUGAAAUAAUUAAUGAGUCACGAGGGUGAAGCAAACACUUCAUCAUUUAUGUAUUUAGGCGUAAAAUAUUUCUUUGCAAAAUGCGUAUAUAUGUAUGUUAACAUUUGCACGCGUCGUAAGGCUUUUCUUUUGCCCGAAAAUUUCCCACCAAAAAUAUUUUUAAGGAAAUUUCUUCCAUGGAACAAAAUGAGAGAGUUAUGUGUGGAUGCGGGGGGCUGUAUGGGUUGAGGGAAAUUGCCAUGUAAUUGAUUAAUCGUGGCCUGUGAAAGCCCAAAUGUUAUUCUUUUGCUUUAGCCUAGAGGGGGUAAAUUUGGAGUGUUUAUGCAAAACUCAUUGUUUGACUUUUAAGUGGAAGCUUAAGUAAAUUUAUGGUUCGUUUUGGGGGGUGGUUGGUUGGUUCUAUUUGGCUUCAGGAAAUCCACAUGAAUUUCGCUUUCAUGGCAAUCAAUAAACAAAGUAUCAAAAUGGUUGAAUUCACCAGGGCUAAAUUUUGGACUCAUUUUAUGCUUGUCUGACUACCAAAAUUUAAUUUCUCGGGUCGCAACCACACGCACAGAUAAAUAUUUGCAAGCACCACAAGAAAAGAUCUUAAAGUUUAUUUUCAGUGGGGAAGCGAGGGGACUGUAAGUAGGGAUUUUUGUUAGUAUAUUUUAUUAAAUGGUAGUGCGAGAGUAUUUGUGGGGAUGGGAAUGGGUUUUAUGGGUCACAUUUUGAAUUAAAUAAUUUAUGUGACAUGUUAAAGUUAAUUUCCGAGUUUAUUUCUCAACAUUCUAUUACUUAAAGAUGUCUUAUAUGUAGUAAAAGUAGCUUAAAGUUUUGAUAUAUUUUUUGAAGCACAAUAUUCUCCUUUUCCGUUACAAAAUUAAUUUUCUUUAAACUAAAACUAUUUGCAAAAGCUUUGGAGCUUUUUUUUAAAUUUUAAGAAUUUCGAAUAAUUGAAGAUCUUUAACAAUGCAAAUUCAUAAAUUAAUUUUCGCACAACAUUUUCCUUUCUCUCAACAAGAAAUUAUUAUCUCCGUACAAUAAUUAUAUAGAAGUUCGAGAGCAUUUUUUUAAAGUUAAACUUUCAUGGAAAAAUUGUUUAAAAGUCCUUUUGCAGCCUUAAUUAAUUAGUCUUUAAAAUAAAAGCCCAUAGCACUCGCAGGCACCACAAUUAAUUUAUUAUCACACCACCCCCAACUCUUUUACCUUUUCCUGUACAAAGAAAAACUUUUCCUUUUGUUGAAAGUGAGAAAAAUGAACAAGAGAGAGGGGGAGUUUAACAAGCGGUGUGAUACGCGGUGGGUGGGUUAUCUCUAUUCAGUGAUCCCUGACUCAUUUUGCUCCGCAACACCUCAAUACGGGGCAAUGUUCAUUAAAAUAGCGUGUAUUAGGUGAAAAUUAAAAGCCAGAUGAUAAUGAUGUGAGGCCAGAGUCUAUUAUACAGCACAGUGUGUGAUGUACAGUCAUGCAGCACGUUUUACAAAAGCACGACCCUCAAUGGGAGACGUCCAAUGGGGCAGCUAUAUAAAUUUUACCUCAACUAAAAUCAUAGUCAUUUGAUAAAUUGACUCCGGGGGUUUGUCUCCAUUCUCCGCCCUCUUGCCCUCAGCACUUCAUCCCCUUUGUACCGAGAUAACCCCAUUUUUGGGGGCAAAAAUACAAGGUUAAGCUCCACAUACAUUGUAAAGGAUAUAGGGGGUGGGGGAGCUUUAUUCUGUCGAUGGCCACAAGGAGAUCAAAAGCAGCACCCUGUCGCAUUUUGGGGUACUGGAGAAAAUGGCAUGUUUUGCCCCAAGGCACCAACCCCCCACUCCCUCCACCAUCACCCCUAAGUCCCAUAAGAGGACCAAAAGUCUCGGAGAAAGGAUCCAUUUGGUGGAUAAAUGGCAACAAUAAAGUAUUCAGCAACACAGAAUGCUUCACAAUCAUUUUUCCUUGGCAUGGGGCUCAAUAUAUGAAUGUUUACAUGAUGUGGCCAAUUUAUAUUUCGUCUCGCCUUCACAUGCGAAGAGAAAUUUGCCUCAUUUCGUGCCAUCAAAAGGAUACCCCAAAAGGAGAAAAACACAAGUCGUUUCACCAGCCAGACCCAUAAACGAAAAGGGAAAUAUUCCUUGUACACACACACACUUCAAUGGCUAAAAUGCUUCUUUAUAAAUCACAAUUUAAAUAAUCGCUCAGAGAUUGGGAUCUCUUAUUUAACGAUAAAAAGGAUGAUUCAGAAGAAAUGGUAGAAGGGUGGGUGUUUGUAGGAAUUUGCGGAUGAAUUAGAAUGGAAUUUUCCCCGAAGAAUUUGGGGGAUUUAGUUUGAAAUCUAAAUUCAUGGAAAAUUUAUGCAUUCUUUUGGGGAAAAAAAACGGCUUCUUUUGAGAUAAAGUGUUUUGUUCUUUAAUCCAUCGUGGAAAGGGAAUAAUCAGGUGUUUUAAUACAGGUGAUAAAUUGAAAUCUGAUUAGUUUUAUCCAAAAAUUCACUACAAAAGACCUCAAGCUUUCAUUGAAUUAUUGAAUUAACCCUUAAAAUACAUCUCAUGAUUAAUUUUCCAAGAAAAUCUUAAUGAAUAAUGACGACUUUUUCAUGGUUUACGUGUGUAGUUCACGAGAUAACGAUAAAAAAAAAUUGAGAAAUAACCCCUAACAACGUGUAAAGAGUUUGGUAACAUUAAUUGAUGUCAAAAAAGUGAUAUAAAAUUGGGAAACACCAACCUUAUCGAAAGUAUUUUAUCGGCAAUAUUGUGGUGGGAAUUGGGCUGAUAGUCGCAGAAGUAAAUUUUAAUCUUAUCGCCUAAAAUUUGCGCGCCUUGUACAAUUUCUCCCGAUCUCAGGUGAAGCAUUUCCGUCAGAUCUUUCCCAAGUUAAACAUUAACUUUUUGCAUUUUCUCACAAUUUAAAAAAAAUCUCUAUACAAAAUGUCCAAUAAAAUUGCUAUUUGUGCUUUCGUGUGCCUUUCUCUGGUCAUCUCAAAAGUCUUCUCCCUGAACUGCUACACCUGUUCCACUGUGGGUGUUGUUCCCUGUACAACGGUGAUGCAGUGCGAGGAGUAUUUCCCAGAACUCGGGCCGAAUUAUGUUUGCACAAAAGUGAUCUCGACAUUUGUUCCAGCGGAAGGACCGAAUGUGACAUCAGUGGAACGAGGAUGUGGGCGACCGGAUGCCUGUGAGAAAAUGGAUGAAUACAAUUUGCAAUACGAUGUGUGCGAAAUCUGCACCCAGAAUCGAUGCAACGGCUCAGUGAGUCUGCGAGGGAGUUUCUACGUGAUUUCAGCGAUAGUGCUCAUGUCUGUGAUACUUUCAGCACAAAGUAAAUAGAGUGUUAACCAUGCAGGAGGACAAAUACACGAGAUUUUAUCGAAUUCGCGACACGGAGAGGUGUGCAAAAAAAAAGUCAUUCAAUUGACGAUGUUUAGUAUUCCAUGAUAAGAGCAUGUGCGGGGUUAAUAUUUUAUGAUGUCUGUCGCAAAUCGAAUUUCCGUCUAUCUGCAAAUGAGUUGCAAAUACCAAAUUACUCAUAAAUUGAUUAAAAUUUUGAUUGGCACAAUUUUGGGGAGAUUUUUUCAUGGAAUACCUCAGUGAUUAAUAAAGCUCUAAUUCAAUUAAGCUUCUUAUCCUUUU